rfam:Triticum aestivum genome assembly, contig: Triticum_aestivum_CS42_TGACv1_scaffold_328810_4BS
GAAAUACUCCCUCCGUCCGGAAAAAACUUGUCCCUCAAAUAAAUGUAUCUAGCACUAAUUUGAUACUAGAUACAUCCAUUUGAGAGACAAGCUUGGGACAAGUUUUUUCAGACGGAGGAAGUAUAUU